rnacentral:rRNA from 1 species
UACGGGGGGGGGCAAGCGUUGUUCGGAAUUACUGGGCGUAAAGGGCUCGUAGGCGGCCAACUAAGUCGGAUGUGAAAUCCCUCGGCUCAACCGAGGAACUGCAUCCGAUACUGGCGGGCUUGAAUCCGGGAGAGGGAUGUGGAAUUCCAGGUGUAGCGGUGAAAUGCGUAGAUACGCGGAGGAACACCAGUGGCGAAAGCGGCUCUCUGGGGGCCACCUGACGCUGAGGCGCGAAAGCGUGGGGAGCGAACCGG